AAUACCCUAUUAUUUUAAAAGAAAUUUAUUAUUCCUAAUUAGUAGUAGUUAAGGUCUUGAAAAUUAAAGAAUUUGGCGGUAUUUUAGUCUAUUCAGAGGAAUCUGUCCUAUAAUUGAUGAUCCACGAUUUUUAGUACUUAUUUUAUUAAUUUACAUAUCGCCGUGGUUGGAAUAUUUUUAAAAAAUAAUAAUAUUCAUAAUUUAUUAUUAUAAAAGAAAUCAGGUCAAGGUGUAGUUUAUGAAUAAGAAGAGAUGGAUUACAAUAAAAAUAUUUAUUAUGAAUUAAUUAGUGAAAUAUUUUUAUGAAAGUGGAUUUGAAAGUAAUUUUAUUUA
rnacentral:rRNA from 1 species